AAUGUGUACAACUCUGGCCAACGAAGGAAGUUAUUGCUGUUCAAGACCUUCUCCAGGAAAGUGGUGGUAGUUGUUCCUAAUGAGGAAGACUGGAAGAAAAGGCUGGAGUUGAGGAAAGAAGUGGAGGGAGAUGAUGUGCCUGAGUCUAUAAUGCUGGAGAUGAAAGGUGGGCUAAAAUUUCAUGGAUUAGAGAAUCCAUUCCUUGGUUAGUGCAACCCUGCUAGAACCUCUUAUCACCAAGAGGUUGACUCUCCACAUCUAAAAUGACAUUUAAGAGCAGUUUAAUGGAUUCAACCACUGGAUAAACUAAUGAAAGGGUAUAAAUAUCAGUUCCUGGUACAUGCUCGUAAUCCCAGCACUUGAGACAUUUUCAGGAAAGAAGAUUAUGAAUUAGGAGAGACCAGCCUGGAUGGCACAGUAGCACCAUAUCGUGGGUGGGAAAAAAAGCAGGGUGAUACAUGCCUCUAAUCUCAGUACUUGGGAGAUGAAGGCAGGAGGAUAUGGAGUUGGAGGCUCGGCUGAGCUAAAUGAGAUACUAUCUCAGAAUGGAAGGAUGACAAAUGAGAUGUUUAAAUCCAAACAAGAUAUUUGAAAUGAAGGAAGGACUUGAAUCAGUUAUUUAUUAAAUAAAUACUUAUCUGUCCAGCACUGCCUAGUCAUUGGGAAAUAUCAGCAUAUGGAAUGAAACCACUCAUAACUAAAAUGUUAAAAUUAAGAUUGAUAUUCCAUGAAAAUGGCAAAGAUGAUUGUUAGGGUUCAAAUUAAAUUACAGUAGUGAUAGAAGUUGUCUUUCUCCCAUGCUUUGAUUUCUGGUAUGCUAAUAGGUUUAUGCUUUGUUUUCAUUUUUGCUUUAAUUUCUUGAUUUGAUAUUUGCCGGAGUGUACUGUCCUUUCAAGACAGUGUUAACUGUGUUGAUGGUCUUGCUUUGUGUCCUUCUCCUUAGAUCAUAUUUUUCA
rnacentral:lncRNA from 1 species